UACGGAGGGUGCGAGCGUUGUCCGGAAUUACUGGGCGUAAAGAGCUCGUAGGUGGUUUGUCGCGUUGUUCGUGAAAACUCACAGCUCAACUGUGGGCGUGCGGGCGAUACGAGCAGACUUGAGUACUGCAGGGGAGACUGGAAUUCCUGGUGUAGCGGUGGAAUGCGCAGAUAUCAGGAGGAACACCGGUGGCGAAGGCGGGUCUCUGGGCAGUAACUGACGCUGAGGAGCGAAAGCGUGGGGAGCGAACAGG
rnacentral:rRNA from 1 species